CAGAUCCCGUUUCUUUUCCGUCUCGCUGCUGGAACGUGCUGCUGCGCCUCUCGAAUCCAACUGCUCUCUCGCUGUCUCUAGUGACGGUCUUGUUGGUUUUUUUUCUUUUCACCUUUAUUUUUUGGGGUUCAGUUUACUCUUUUCACGGCCCUGUUCGGAGACGACGUUGUCUCAAUCAUUCUUCAUUUUUAUUUUUAGAGAGUACGCGGGGGGCGAGUCGAGAGAUGCUUGGUGCUGCUCUGUGACCUAUCCUGCUGCAUCCUCUCUAUUGCUGCGACCCUAUGGCGUCGUGUGUGGAGCUUUGAGGGAGUUGGUAGUGUGCACUGUGGUUUUGGGAGUACGGCGCGGUGAAUUGCUGCGAAGGGGUUCGGGAUCAAUCGUCGUCCUCUUGGUGAGAAGGUUCUGCUUGCUUUCGGGGACUGCCGUUGGUUUCUCGGUCGGGGCUGCGCUGCCGCGGUGCAUUUGAGCCAGGGACAUGACAGAUUUUCAAAUUUGGUGACAACGUUGGCAAAGCUGCAUGUUGAGUAGUACGAUCAUAUUUGUCUGUACCUGAAACUACUAUUUUUCGAAGCUGAUUGUUUUGGGGCAACAACAGGUUGUGGUGGUGAACAACAAUGAAUCUCCUGUAGUACCGUGGGAUUGUGAUUGCAGAUAACAAGUUUUUUAACAUACAGCUGAGCACCUUAUGUUAUUUCAAACAUGGAUUGAUACUACCAUGAAACUGGGUAGCAAGCUACUUGGAUUCAGUAUCUUUGCUACGUGCUGAAAAAUAUCCUUGUAGACGGACAACGUGAGUAUGAGUGUCGUGUAUUGACCUCACAAGAGAUUUCUGCAAGACUGUGUACCUUGAAUCUGCUGAAGACCCCAGAUCUAUCUUAGUCUUUCUUCCGCAUCAGUGUCUCGAUGACCAGUUUCUUCUAGUUAUAUUUGUGACCUCACCUGUCAACCAGGAACAUUUGGGAAUAGGAAUUCCAUGUAUGAAAGAGACAUUAGGGAAAUGCCAGUGGUGGACAGUGCUACCCCAGGGGUGAGCCCCAGUGCUGUGCCCUUUUCAGCUACCGCAAGCUCCCGGAAAGAGAAAAAGAAACAAGCGAAGGAGGAGAGAGACCGACUGAAGCAGGCAGAGAAGAAAAAACGACGUCUGGAGAAGGCUCUUGCCACCGCUGCCGCCAUUCGGACCGAGCUUGAGAAGAAGAAACAGCGGCGAAAAGAGGAAGAGCAGAGACUAGACGAGGAAGGUGCUGCUCUUGCGGAGGCUGUAGCUCUUCAGGUGUUGGUAGAUGAAGAGUCCGACGGGUUAGGUCGACUUCAAGUGGCUAAAGAAGGGGAACUUCUGAACUUUAGGGAUGGAGAUGAUGGAGGGUCUUCUUCUGGAGACAAAGUCUCUGAUGAAAAGAGUAUGGGCCCUUGUUUGGGAGUACGCCGUCGAGAGACAGUUCAACAGAAUGGUCUAAAGCGACACGGCAGUUUCAAGAGCUCUGGAGAUAAUGAUCGAAGUUUUGAAAGAGAAUCAAAGGAAUGGAAGGGACGUGAAUGGGAGUCUCUUGGAGAGACUCAUUCAGUGAAUGCGCGAGAUGACGCUGGUAUUGACAGCGAGCUCGAAGACGAAGAGGAUACCACAUGGGAGGUUUUCAGCAGUGCAGAAGAGAAAGCUAGGGCCAGCAAUGAGAGAGCUCGACGGGCAGAAGUGGCAGCAGGCCUGGCUGCAGCACAGGCGGUUGCUGCACUUAGGAUUGCCGAAGAAGCUCGAGCUGAAGCUGAAGCUGCAAAGAAAGCUGCAGAAGAAGCAAUGAACGAAGCGCUUGACCAUUGUGAUAUUGUAUUGAAACCAGAAUCCCUUGACGAGCUACACAGGGCCGGGGAAAGGGAAAAAAGAGUGAUUGAGCCUGAGUCAAGGGCAGGGCAUGGAUGAAUCGUGAUGGGGCUGGGACUUGAACAGAAGAAGGCAGUAGCUCUGUGUGUGGAGAAGGAGAGGGAUGAGUUGAAAACUCGUCUGCAAGAGACUGAACGUCAGCUGCAGGAGAAGACUCAACGUGUCUCAGAACUAGAGCAUAAUUUGGAGGAGGUGACUCAGUAUCUACUGGAGUUCAAGGCUAUGUUUGAAGGGGGCAAGCAUGCUUUGCUUACAGUUGGUCAAACUCCUGGUAAAGACACUGGAGCAAGCUUCGAGCAGGAUGAUGCUAUUCCUGCAGAAUCCUCUGGAGGCACAGGUGAUCAAUGACUGUUCAGAGACGCAAUUUAUAAUGUCACUGUUGUGAAGACAUUGAUAUGCAUAGAUUGUAGAAUGGACUUCUUCAACGUGAAUGUCCUCUCAAAAUAUGCAUUAGCUUAAUUUGAACACAUUAAGGACCAUGAAGAUUCACAGAUCCAGGUGCUGGUUCUGUAUCCAAGUCCGAGGACAGUGAAAUUACUCUGUUCGUUUCGAGGUGCAAAUAGCUUUAUGUUGGUUAGCUUUCUCAGGGUAGAAGGGCCAAAGAAUGUGUAGGACGUGGAUGUAUACAAGACUCAGUUGAAAUGUGGAUGUGUACAAGAGUUUCUAAUGAAAAGGCUGGGUUGAAAGAGAACAAGAGAGAUGGGAAUUGGUAGUGGGAUAUGAGACAACCUGAAUGUGGUUGUUGAUUCUCCUGGGCCCCAUCAAUCUGACGUGUUAGUUCUCUAUCCAACUUUUCUUGUUAGUAUCUGAUAAGCUGUAUCUUGACUUGUUUGUAUAAGGCACUGAAGGGAACACUUACAAUUAUGUUUUGACUGAAGC